AGUGAACGCUGGCGGCAGGCCUAAUACAUGCAAGUCGAACGGCAGCACGGCAGAGCUUGCUCUGUGGGUGGCGAGUGGCGGACGGGUGAGGAAUACAUGGGAAUCUGCCCAGUCGUGGGGGAUAACGUAGGGAAACUUACGCUAAUACCGCAUGCGCCCUUCGGGGAAGCCGGGGACCUUCGGCCUGGCGCGAUUGGAUGAGCCCAUGUCGGAUUAGCUAGUUGGCGGGGUAAUGGCCCACCAAGGCGACGAUCCGUAGCUGGUCUGAGAGGAUGAUCAGCCACACUGGAACUGAGACACGGUCCAGACUCCUACGGGAGGCAGCAGUAGGGAAUAUUGGACAAUGGGCGCAAGCCUGAUCCAGCCAUGCCGCGUGAGUGAAGAAGGCCCUCGGGUUGUAAAGCUCUUUUGUCCGGAAAGAAAAGCGCCGGGUUAAUACCCUGGUGUCCUGACGGUACCGGAAGAAUAAGCACCGGCUAACUUCGUGCCAGCAGCCGACGG
rnacentral:rRNA from 1 species